CCUACGGGAGGCAGCAGUCGAGAAUCAUUCACAAUGGGGGAAACCCUGAUGGGGCGACGCCGCGUGGGGGAAUGAAGGUCUGCGGAUUGUAAACCCCUGUCAUGUGGGAGCAAAUUAAAAAGAUAGUACCACAAGAGGAAGAGACGGCUCACUCUGGGCCAGCAGCCGCGGUAAGACAGAGGUCUCCAGCGUUGUUCGGAACCACUGGGCGUAAAGAGUGCGUAGGCUGUUUCGUAAGUCGUGUGUGAAAGGCGCGGGCUCAACCCGCGGACGGCACAUGAUACUGCGAGACUAGAGUAAUGGAGGGGGAACCGGAAUUCUCGGUGUAGCAGUGAAAUGCGUAGAUAUCGCGAGGAACCCUCGUGGCGAAGGCGGGUUCCUGGACAUUAACUGACGCUGAGGCACGAAGGCCUGGGGAGCGAAAAGGAUUAGAUACCCCAGUAGUC
rnacentral:rRNA from 1 species